GAUAGCACGGAUCUUGUGCACGGGAGGCUCUUUACGCACAAACCUUGCGGAUGAUAACAUUCUUGUCAAAACAGUGCUCGAUGGGUUCAGCCCGAUCGGGGAACGAGGUACUCCACACAAGAUAAGCAACCGAAAGGCGUAAUACUCCAAAUUAGUGCUCCUAAUGAAUGGGGCAAUCGGCCCCAGUCGGGUGUAGUUUUGAAAGCAACAACAGCUCGGAUAAGAACACACAAUAGUAUCUACAUCCGGUUGCCAAGAGGAGACUGGCUCGCCAAAGACGCAAUAAAACACGGUUU